UUUGGGACAAGUGUACGUGUUACUGCACGUGCAUUGAUAGUACCAGAGAGGAAGGGACGGCUAACUCUGUGCCAGCAGCCGCGGUAAUACAGAGGUCCAAGCGUUGUUCGGAUUCAUUGGGCGUAAAGGGUGCGUAGGUGGCGCCGUAAGUCGGGUGUGAAAUUUCGGAGCUUAACUCCGAAACUGCAUUCGAUACUGCGGUGCUUGAGGACUGGAGAGGAGACUGGAAUUCAUGGUGUAGCAGUGAAAUGCGUAGAGAUCAUGAGGAAGACCAGUGGCGAAGGCGGGUCUCUGGACAGUUCCUGACACUGAGGCACGAAGGCCAGGGGAGCAAACGGGAUUAGAUACCCCGGUAGUCCUGGCAGUAAACGGUGCACGUUUGGUGUGGGAGGAUUCGACCCCUUCCGCGCCGGAGCUAACGCGUUAAACGUGCCGCCUGGGGAGUACGGUCGCAAGAUUAAAACUCAAAGAAAUUGACGGGGGCCCGCACAAGCGGUGGAGUAUGUGGCUUAAUUCGAUGCAACGCGAAGAACCUUACCAGGCCUUGACAUGCAUUUCUAAGCGGGUGAAAGCCCGUGAGUGUCGAAAGACACAACUUGCACAGGUGCUGCAUGGCUGUCGUCAGCUCGUGUCGUGAGAUGUUGGGUUAAGUCCCGCAACGAGCGCAACCCCUGUGAACUGUUGCCACCGGCGCAAGCCGAGCACUCUGUUCAGACUGCCCUGUGAAACGGGGAGGAAGGUGGGGACGACGUCAAGUCAGUAUGGCCCUUACGGCCUGGGCUGCACACGUACUACAAUGCCCAGUACAGAACGAUCCGAGACCGCGAGGUGGAGGAAAUCUAUCAAAACUGGGCCCAGUUCGGAUUGGAGUCUGCAACUCGACUCCAUGAAGCCGGAAUCGCUAGUAAUGCCGUAUCAGCUACGACGGCGUGAAUACGUUCCCGGGCCUUGUACACACCGCCCGUCACAUCAUGGAAGUCACUUGUAGCCGAAGCCGGCGCGCCAACCAGCAAGGAAGCAGCCGUCUACGCUAG
rnacentral:rRNA from 1 species